AAAGUCUAAAUGCACAUAAUAUGUGCACACUUAAUUGGACAUUUUUGUAAAUUUGUAUAUUUUUAUUAAUUGCGGAAUUAAUUUAAUUUUAUUUGAAUUUACAAUUUACCUCAUCACCCAUGAUAAUUAUUAAGGAAAUGAUUUCUCCUAAUCUUUCCUUAAAAUUCAAAAUCUUAUUUCCUUUCUCAUAAUCCACACUCACAUACGCUUAUUUCCUUUCUCAUAAUCCACACUCACAGACGCUUCAACAAUGGUGAACUUCGACGACGGCUCUCGCAACCGCGCGCCCCUACGGUCACUACGCUUCAACAAUGGUUGAAUUGUGAAGGGGAGUGCUAGGAGAUUAGUGAAAUCAGAUUUCUAUUUAGCCUGCAGGGGACCGAAAUAUGAAGCAGAUUUCUAUAUGCUUCAUACAAAUCAAUUGUCUUUUUCUUCUUUUCAAAUGUGGUUUUUGGGUGAGUUGAGGUUGUAGUGCAGUGUUCAUGUUCUCAUCUUUAAAAAAAAACAUUGCAGCUGCAUCUUUCUUUUACUUUGGGCAUUGGUUCUCUGUUUCUCCAAUCCGUCUUAAGCACGAGGUGCGUGCUUCGGGUGGAAGAACUUGCGUUAACCUCGGGGAACGAAUCAGCGCGUAGGGCGUGCACCUCAUUGUCGGCCGAAUCUCGUUUUCAGGGCAGUGGUUUUCACCACGACGCAUUGCUUCUUGCUCUUUGUUUGUUUUCUGUGCAGCUUCUCAGCUUGGAGUUUUGUCGAACACUUGAAACGACGCACCGUUCGGCUCGACACACCAAACAUAGCAGCUGCCUCCUUUUGUGCUCCAUCGUUCGUUUUCCCGUUGGUGCUAUUUGCGAGAAGCCAAUGAGCCAUAGCAUUUUGCUCUUCUAUUGUUAGGUGUUUUUUGGAAGACAUGAGCUCAUUGUUUUGUUUUGAACCUUUCGAAUGAUCUGUAAAUGUUUCUGGAAUAGUGUGUUUAUGUUUAAAUAGGUGACUAAUUAAUGUAUUUGGAGGGAGCCGAAAUUUGGAGGCUUUCCCUCCAUAAAUUUUUAGUUUAGUGAAAUGGAAAUUAAUGCCUUUUUUAA